CGUGGCUUUGUGGCUAAGACGUCAGGCUAACAACCUGAUGGUCGCAGGUGCGAUCCCGG
rnacentral:tRNA from 11 species